rnacentral:rRNA from 1 species
GACGUUUGUUGGGGUUUUUCGGAAAGUCCGGGGCUUAACCCCGGAUCUGCGGGGGGUACGGGCAGACUAGAAUGCAGUAGGGGAGACUGGAAUUCCUGGUGUAGCGGUGGAAUGCGCAGAUAUCAGGAGGAACACCGAUGGCGAAGGCAGGUCUCUGGGCUGUAACUGACGCUGAGGAGCGAAAGCAUGGGGAGCGAACAGGAUUAGAUACCCUGGUAGUCCAUGCCGUAAACGUUGGGCACUAGGUGUGGGGACCAUUCCACGGUUUCCGCGCCGCAGCUAACGCAUUAAGUGCCCCGCCUGGGGAGUACGGCCGCAAGGCUAAAACUCAAAGGAAUUGACGGGGGCCCGCACAAGCGGCGGAGCAUGCGGAUUAAUUCGAUGCAACGCGAAGAACCUUACCAAGGCUUGACAUGUUCUCGAUCGCCGUAGAGAUACGGUUUCCCCUUUGGGGCGGGUUCACAGGUGGUGCAUGGUUGUCGUCAGCUCGUGUCGUGAGAUGUUGGGUUAAGUCCCGCAACGAGCGCAACCCUCGUUCCAUGUUGCCAGCACGUAAUGGUGGGGACUCAUGGGAGACUGCCGGGGUCAACUCGGAGGAAGGUGAGGACGACGUCAAAUCAUCAUGCCCCUUAUGUCUUGGGCUUCACGCAUGCUACAAUGGCCGGUACAAUGGGUUGCGAUACUGUGAGGUGGAGCUAAUCCCAAAAAGCCGGUCUCAGUUCGGAUUGGGGUCUGCAACUCGACC